GGUUCUGGGCCGGUCACAGGUCGCUGCUGAGGAGCAGAGGAGGACGGCGGGGAGGGAGAAGGAGCACAGGAGGACGGCACUGGGGGAAGGAGAAGCGAAGUCGGAGGCCGAGACGGCGCUCGCGUCAUGUGUCAGACGCUGCUCGUCGGCCCUCGUUGUCGUCCUCAAUCUAGGUUGCCCAUCUGCGUCUCACCUUCUUCUUUAACCUUAGUUUUUUGAUGAUCUGAUUUCAAUCGUUGGUUUAUCGUUUUUCUAAGCAUGAUGUGUGAAGAUCUGAGACAAAAAAGAAGAGGAAGAAUUUUGACGAAGAGUUGGGUCAUGGGGAACAAAGGUCAUCAGAACAUACAUAACUGUUGCCGAAGCCCUCUUGCUAAAGAGGAAAGCACAAGAAGAUAUGAUCGAAUUAAAUGGGUAGUGCAUUUAUCUUGUUGGUUAGUUCCCUCAUCGGCCUACUUACUGUUACCUGCGAGUUUCAGGUAUAAUACUCCCCCCCUUAGCAAAGGGUGAAUUCUCUGGUUUUGAUUGGCCGGGAGAAACUCCAUGAGUCUUGAGGAUUUUCGGAAAUGUUGGAAUCAGUGGUGUUUUGUUUUUGAUGAUAUUAUCCGAUAGAGGUGACAAGGAGAGAAGAUGCUAGCUCAAUGGUGCUGGCCAUGAAGGAUUUUGGCGCAUCCAAG